AUUGAACGCUGGCGGCAUGCUUUACACAUGCAAGUCGAACGGUAACAGGGAGCUUGCUCCGCUGACGAGUGGCGAACGGGUGAGUAAUAUAUCGGAACGUACCCAAGAGUGGGGGAUAACGUAGCGAAAGUUACGCUAAUACCGCAUACGAUCUAUGGAUGAAAGCAGGGGACCUUCGGGCCUUGUGCUCCUGGAGCGGCCGAUAUCUGAUUAGCUAGUUGGUGAGGUAAAGGCUCACCAAGGCGACGAUCAGUAGCUGGUCUGAGAGGACGACAAGCCGCACAGGAACUGAGACACGGCCCAGGCGCCUCCGGGAGGCAGCAGUGGGGGAUUUUGGACAAUGGGCGCAGGCCUGAUCCAGCAAUGCCGCGUGAGUGAAGAAGGCCUUCGGGUUGUAAAGCUCUUUUGUCAGGGAAGAAACGGCUGUGGCUAAUAUCCACGGCUAAUGACGGUACCUGAAGAAUAAGCACCGGCUAACUACGUGCCAGCCGCCGCCGUAA
rnacentral:rRNA from 1 species